rnacentral:rRNA from 1 species
AUUGAACGCUGGCGGCAGGCCUAACACAUGCAAGUCGAGCGGAGCGGCGGACGGGCGAGUAAUGCCUAGGAAUCAGCCUGGCAGUGGGGGAUAACGUACGGAAACGGGCGCUAAUACCGCCCACUUUCAGAUGGGCCUGGGUGGGAUUAGCUAGUUGGUGGGGUAAGGGCCUACCAAGGCGACGAUCCGUAACUGGUCUGAGAGGAUGAUCAGUCACACUGGAACUGAGACACGGUCCAGACUCCUACGGGAGGCAGCAGUGGGGAAUAUUGGACAAUGGGCGAAAGCCUGAUCCAGCCAUGCCGCGUGUGUGAAGAAGGUCUUCUGAUUGUAAAGCACUUUAAGUUGGGAGGCGUUACCAGCAGAAUAGGCACCGGCUAACUUCGUGCCAGCAGCCGCGGUAAUUC